AUGCUAGUACUGCUACUGAUGUUAGUACUGCUGCUGAUGUUAGUACUGCUACUGUUGCUAGUACUGCUACUGAUGCUAGUACUGCUACUGAUGUUAGUACUGCUACUGAUGCUACUGCUACUGAUGCUAGUACUGCUACUGAUGCUAGUACUGCUACUGAUGUUAGUACUGCUGCUGAUGUUAGUACUGAUACUGAUGCUAGUACUGCUACUGAUGCUAGUACUGCUACUGAUGUUAGUACUGUUACUUAUGCUAGUACUAAGAUAUGGUAAAUAGGAGUGGCAAUAUCGUCUGCUAUUAUCCUCAGUAAUUUUCUAUCCAGUGUGUCAGACCCCGGUGGCUUGUUAUUGUUUCUAGACAACAAUAUUUUUUUCAUCUCUUCCACAUUGACUUUACAGAAUUGAAAAUUACAAUUCUUGUCUUUCAUAAUUUGGUCAGAUUUACUUGGAUGUGUAGUGUCAGCGUUUGUUGCUGGCAGGUCAUCCCUAAGUUCGCUUAUCUUGCCAAUGAAACAUCAUUAAAGUAAUUGGCAAUAUCAGUGGGCUUUGUGAUGAAGGAGCCAUCUGAUUCAGUUAAUGUUGGCGCUGAGGUGCUCCAAAGCCUUCUUACUAUCAUUCUUUAUAUACUUUUCUUUGGUUUCAUAGUACAGUGUAUUUUUAUUUAGUUUAGUCACAUGUUUUCUUAAUUUGCAGUACAUUUUCCAAUCAGUUGGGCUGCCAUAACAUGUUUCAAUUCCUCAUCAAUCCAAGGGGAUUUAACAGUUUUUACAGUUAUUUUAUUAAUGGGUCCGUGCUUAUUAGUAACUGGAAUAUGCAAUUUCAUAAAUGUGUCAAGUACAGGGUCUGGUUGCUCCUCAUUACACACCACAAACCAGCAAAUAUUCUUUACAUCAACAACAUAGGAAUCACUACAAAACUUCUUGUAUGACCUCUUAUACACUAUAUUAGGCCCAGCCUUUGGAACAGGGGUGUCCGAUGUGACUACCACUGUAUCCUCUGUCAUAGGGGCGUCUGAGGCUACUACCACUGUAUCCUCUGUCAUAGGGGCGUCUGAGGCUACUACCACUGUAUCCUCUGUCAUAGGGGCAUCUGAGGCUACUACCACUGUAUCCUCUGUCAUAGGGGCGUCUGAGGCUACUACCACUGUAUCCUCUGUCAUAGGGGCGUCUGAGGCUACUACCACUGUAUCCUCUGUCAUAGGGGCAUCUGAGGCUACUACCACUGUAUCCUCUGUCAUAGGGGCGUCUGAGGCUACUACCACUGUAUCCUCUGUCAUAGGGGCAUCUGAGGCUACUACCACUGUAUCCUCUGUCAUAGGGGUGUCCGACGCUACUACCACUGAAUCCUCUGUCAUAGGGGUGUCCGAGGCCACUACCACUGUAUCCUCUGUCAUAGUGGUGUCCGAGGCUACUACCACUGCUGAUGGUUGAUGGGGAGUAUAAAACAAUGUUCCUCUGAGGCUUUAUAUCAUUUCAGACCGUUCUGUCCUCAGUGCAUUACAAUACAUACAGCUCUACAUUCAUAUCUACUUACUGUACAUUAUAUUAACUCAGUGUGCACUAAACAUAUCUAGAUAUACAGUAGGCAUCUACGUGCUGUGGAAACAUCAGACUGAAUAAUAUGCAUGUUAACCAUGUAUAAUCUACAUAAUGUUAACCAUGUUGCAUAAUGUUAACCAUGCUGUAUAAUCUACAUGAUGUUAACCAUGCAGUAUAAUCUACAUGAUGUUAACCAUACAGUAUAAUCUACAUGAUGUUAACCAUGCUGUAUAAUCUACAUGAUGUUAACCAUGCUGUAUAAUCUACAUAAUGUUAACCAUGCUUUUUAAUCUACAUGAUGUUAACCAUACAGUAUAAUCUACAUGAUGUUAACCAUGCUUUUUAAUCUACAUGUUAAUCAUGCUGUAUAAUCUACAUAAUGUUAACCAUGCUGUAUAAUUUAUACUCUGAUAUUGGUUGCCGGAUUCCUGAUAAUGCACUGUUCCAAGUGGUUCAUUCCCUCUCCUCUCUCCUGUAACUAUUCCCCAGGUCAUUGCUGUUCCAAGGGGUUCAUUACCUCUCCUCUCCCCUGUAACUAUUCCCCAGGUCAUUGCUGUUCCAAGUGGUUCAUUCCCUCUCCUCUCCCCUGUAACUAUUCCCCAGGUCAUUGCUGUUCCAAGUGGUUCAUUCCCUCUCCUCUCCCCGGUAACUAUUCCCCAGGUCAUUGCUGUAAAUGAGAAUGUGUUCUCGGGUCAUCUUAACUGCUAAAAUAAUUGUUAGCAUUGUUCCAUCUAAUGACAUGUGAAUGUAGUUCUAGAUAAUAUAACUGUAUCCUGGCCCUAUAUGGUUCAGUUGGUAUAGCAUGGCGCUUGCGCAGCCAUGGUUCAAUUCCCGGGACCACCCAUACAUAAAAUAUAUGCACACGUUACUGUAAAUCACUUUGGAUAAAAGCCUCUGCUAAAUGGCAUAUUAUUGAUAUUAUUAUUAGAUGAUAACUAGUCUGCUCUAUAUCUAUAAUGUAGUCCACUGAGGUCCAUUUCAUAGUUGGCAUCAUCAUUACCUGUGAAACCAUACAGGUUUCUGUCUCUCUCCUUUUCCUCCCUGUUUUGGUCCAUAUGUAUCAACCUUCUCAGAGUAGGAGUACUGUUUUAGGAUCUAUAUUUCCUUUCAGAUCCCACUUAAUAAGAUGUUAUGGACAGGAGGGACCUGAGCACUCCUACUCCUGAGACCUUUGAUAUAAACAAGCCCUGCUCUCUCCGCUGUAAUUAUUUGCUCUGUACAGUGAUGCUUACAGCUUCACCUUCAAACAAAAGACUGAAUGUUUUUGUACUGCUCUGAAAUGUCUUG
rnacentral:lncRNA from 1 species